rnacentral:rRNA from 1 species
AAAGCUCGUAGUUGAAUUUCUAGUCAACCGUUAAGUGGCUUCACAGUCUUUAACGAUUGCCUAUCCGACAUUGAACUAUAAUGGUUAUUAAGUUAACCUUAUAGCGAACUGUCAUUUUACUUUGAAAAAAUCAGAGUGUUUCAGGCAGGCAAUUGCCCGAAUAUCUUAGCAUGGAAUAAUGGAAUAGGACUUUGGUUCAUUUGAUUGGUUAUUGAAUCAGAGUAAUGAUUAAUAGGGACAGUUGGGGGCAUUAGUAUUUAAUCGUCAGAGGUGAAAUUCUUGGAUUUAUUAAAGACUAACUUAUGCGAAAGCAUUUGCCAAGGAUGUUUUCAUUAAUCAAGAACGAAAGUUAGGGGAUCAAAGACGAUCAGAUACCGUCCUAGUCUUAACUAUAAACUAUACCGACUCAGGAUUGGCGAUGCCAUAAGCUUCGUCAGCACUGUAUGAGAAAUUAAAGUCUUUGGGUUCUGGGGGGAGUAUGGUCGCAAGGCUGAAACUUAAAGGAAUUGACGGAAGGGCACCACCAGGAGUGGAGCCUGCGGCUUAAUUUGACUCAACACGGGGAAACUUACCAAGGCCAAACAGAGGUGGGAUUGACAGAUUGAGAGCUCUU